rnacentral:rRNA from 1 species
AUCUGAGCGAUUAACCCUGAACAAGCCCAAUCCAGUCUAAUCUCGGAAGCUAAGCAGGGUUGGGCCUGGUUAGUACUUGGAGGGCAGACUACCUAGGAAGACCAGAUGCUGUAGACA